rnacentral:rRNA from 1 species
AUGGACGCAAGACCACGACGGGCAUCGUCCUCGCCGGCGGCGGCCUUGUCCCUGCUGCUCCUGUUCCCCAUGUUUCUAGGGUGCCAGGCGUCGGCGUACGGCGACGAUUCGGGCGCCGGCGGCAUGACGGCGCUGCAGAAGCACGCGGCGUUCUUCGACGGUGACAAGGACGGCGUCGUCACCUUCUCUGAGACUUACGCAGCGUUUCGGGCCCUCGGAUUUGGAUUUGCUGCCUCCACCUUGAGUGCCACCUUCAUCAAUGGCGUCCUUGGCCCCCAGACCAGACCGGAAAAUGACACGGCGCGCAUGUCCAUCUACAUCGAGAACAUCCACAAGGGCAUCCACGGGAGCGACUCAGGCGCGUAUGACUCCCAAGGAAGGUUCGUUCCGGACAAGUUGGAGGCGGCGUUCGCCAAGCACGGCAAGACGGUGCCGGACGCCCUGACGUCCGCCGAGGUGGACGAGCUGAUCACCGCGAACCGGCAGCCCAGCGACUACGCGGGAUGGGCGGGCGCGUCGGCGGAGUGGAAGCUGCUGUACAGCAUCGGCAAGGACAAGGACGGGCUCCUCCGCAAGGAGGACGCCAGGGGCGUCUACGACGGCAGCCUCUUCGCCAGGGUGGUGCAGGAGCGGAGGGCAUCAUCGCAAGAAGAAACCCAGGCAUGA